GUUAUGACUUUGAUGAAUUUAACUGUAUUAUACUUAUUUUGUUAUGAAGGAGAAGCUAUAUGUAGGACUUAAUCGAACAAAGUUUCUACAAAAUCUUUUAAAGACGCUAAUAGCACUUUGACACAAAAAGACGACGAGAUGAAUGUUAGUCCGGUUUAUGGGGCAGAAUCCAACAACAAUAAAGGUGUUUCUAAUGAGCAUCCAAGUUUUAAUUUGCAUGAAGGUGUUACAGUGGGAAUAAAAGGAGCCAACUGCAAUACUCAUGAAAAGGUAAACACAAAUGACCGCCCGAUUGUUAUUCAUGCUGUAACAGUGGUAAUUGGUAAUGAAAAUAUAGUGACGAACAUUGAUAGCGAGCCAAGGCCAGUAAAAAGGUGUGAAAGUCAAGUGAUAAAGCAAGACUACAAAGAAAGCUUGAAUCAAGAUUUUGCAAAUCCAGACAUUAUUAUUCUUGCAAACAAGGUAGACGAAUGUACUGUAAAAUUAUUGAAGGAAAACAUUUUGGAAUUCUUUAAUGGAAAGAAUAACAUUCAAAUCGCUGACUUUAUCAUAGAGGAAGGCGCUGACCAGAAUUUUCUCGACGCUGUAAACAGAGACAUGCGUACCUCAAAAAAAGUAUUUCUCCUACUGUCAAAAGACUUUGUCACUAAAACAUGGCCAUAUAUAUCAAAGAUGUCGUCUCUUAAAGACCUUCUAUACUCAAACACAUCAUCAGUUAUACCGAUGUACUUAGAGGAAUCUAUUAGUCUGCCAAUGGGACUAAUGUCAGCGUAUUGCUUGCAUUUCUAUAAACGAGAUCCCGAUUACACAAGGGCAUUGGAAAAGUUGUUGGAGGGUGUUUUUGAAGCAUAAUCAGCCUUUUUGGGAGCAUGCAUAUCUCAUUUGUUUCAUUGUUUGAGAAAAAAAAAAACUUUUGAUAAAAAAAAAUACUUUUCUCAAGAUAGCACUUGUCUUUUCGCUUUUUGAAUAAUAUUUGAAUAUUUUGGUAUGUUUUUAGAAUUAAAUGCAAUUGUUCAAGG